GACGAACGCUGGCGGCGUGCUUAACACAUGCAAGUCGAACGGAAAGGCCCUGCUUUUGUGGGGUGCUCGAGUGGCGAACGGGUGAGUAACACGUGAGUAACCUGCCCUUGACUUUGGGAUAACUUCAGGAAACUGGGGCUAAUACCUGAUAGGAGCUCCUGCUGCAGGGUGGGGGUUGGAAAGUUUCGGCGGUUGGGGGUGGACUCGCGGCUUAUCAGCUUGUUGGUGGGGUAGUGGCUUACCAAGGCUUUGGCGGGUAGCCGGCCUGAGAGGGUGACCGGCCACCUUGGGACUGAGAGACGGCCCAGACUCCUACGGGAGGCAGCGGUGGGGAAUAUUGCACAAUGGGCGGAAGCCUGAUGCAGCAACGCCGCGUGCGGGAUGACGGCCUUCGGGUUGUAAACCGCUUUCGCCUGUGACGAAGCGUGAGUGACGGUAAUGGGUAAAGAAGCACCGGCUAACUACGUG
rnacentral:rRNA from 1 species